rnacentral:rRNA from 1 species
GAACUGAAGAGUUUGAUCAUGGCUCAGAUUGAACGCUGGCGGCAGGCCUAACACAUGCAAGUCGAGCGGAUGAAGGGAGCUUGCUCCUGGAUUCAGCGGCGGACGGGUGAGUAAUGCCUAGGAAUCUGCCUGGUAGUGGGGGAUAACGUCCGGAAACGGGCGCUAAUACCGCAUACGUCCUGAGGGAGAAAGUGGGGGAUCUUCGGACCUCACGCUAUCAGAUGAGCCUAGGUCGGAUUAGCUAGUUGGUUGGGUAAAGGCCUACCAAGGCGACGAUCCGUAACUGGUCUGAGAGGAUGAUCAGUCACACUGGAACUGAGACACGGUCCAGACUCCUACGGGAGGCAGCAGUGGGGAAUAUUGGACAAUGGGCGAAAGCCUGAUCCAGCCAUGCCGCGUGUGUGAAGAAGGUCUUCGGAUUGUAAAGCACUUUAAGUUGGGAGGAAGGGCAGUAAGUUAAUACCUUGCUG